UCGAUAGGCUCCCAGCGCUACCCCACCCUCAAACUCUCAGAUCACCCCCCCCAGUAGGCGGGGCCUCGUGAGGAGGCGGGGUUGAGAUUGGCGGGAAAUCUUGGGCGGCGGCUGAGAGCUUCGGGGCGGCCACUACAAAAUCGCCCUUCUCGGAUCCUCAGUGAUUAUUACCUGUGUAUUGCCGAUUCCCUCCAGUUUCUCACCGCUCGGCUGAUACACCUGAAAUCGUUCGAGACGACGCCUGCGACUACAGUGCCUGAGAGUCCGCUUUCUUUAUACUUUCACCAGCACUGGAUAGGGUAUGGCUCUCUUAUUCCACAGAAGUAAAUAAUUGCAUUUCUUCAGAUCAACUUGAAUCUAAACCUGAGCUCCCAUCCUGCCAUGCUGGUGGGUCUCAUGACUCUGAUACUCCUUUACCACCCUUGGAAUCAAAUGAGUGAAUCUGGCAGCCCAAGCACCCAGGUGCAGCCUUCCCCUUUGAGGUUUUGCCACCAUCCUGGGUUCUGUCACAGAGCAAGACAGAAGACUUAGCUGCUUACUCAACAUUUGAGCUUCAGACUUCUAAGUCUUAAGGAAUCUGUCUUCCACCUCACCUUCAAAGGCAUUUCUGUCCUUUGUUUCUCCUCCUUAUUUCAAAAGACAACAAGAGCCUAUGUUUUGCUUUUUGCCUUACAAAAAUAUGAGGGUCUGGAUACUUGCUUGAAUGGGGGCAAGGGGCAGGGGGAUACAUAGAAUUAGUAUCUCAACAAAAUAACCUGCCACAAAAAUUUAUAUCAAAUUAUAAAUGCUUUUUUUACCCUGCUUUUUUAUUUAAACAUUAUACCAUAAACAUUUCAUGCCAUGUGCUUUUGUAAUUUUUAAGUUUUCCUUUAUUAUUUUCAAGAGAGAGAGAGAGAGAAUACAAGCAGGGGAGAGCAGCAGAGGGAGAGAGAUUCUCAAGCAGGCUCUAUGCCCAGCGCAGAGCCCAGUGUAGGGCUCGAUCCCAUGAUCCUGGGAUCAGGACCUGAGCUGAAAUCAAGAAUUGGAUGCACAACCGACUGAGCAACGUAGGCACCCCUAAAAUCAUGUCACAUGAUUUUAAAUGUCUGCAUAACAGUAAGAUCCUUCAUCAUACAAAUGUAUCAUAAUUUAUUUAAUUGACAUUUCAUAGCCUUUAAAUAGCUCACUCUAAAUGCAGUCUUAUCUAUAUUUACUACCUUUUUAAAUUUUUAUUUUUUCUGGUUAUUCAGAAGCUAAGGUUCUCUUCUGGUAAUAACUAAAGCUUGGAAUAGAACAAUUGGAACUAAUGGACAUAAUUUGGAAGACUAACAGUUUAAAGUUUUAUCUAAACUCCAUAACAUAAUUUCCCUCCCUCGGUAUUACCAAAAGUGAGGCCUGUACAAAAGCCAUUGGCAUACUUGAGUUGUUUAGAAAUAUUUUUUCCAGAAAUGAAGCAAUUAUUACAGAAUAUCAUCUAGAUAGUUGAGUAACAAUGAAUGUUACAUGUCCAUGGGAAAAUUUCAACUUGGCUCUUAUUACACUUUAUUUUAAUUAAUUCUAAAACAUCCUGAACCAACAAAAAAUGACCUUUAAAUUGGAGCAUAGUACUGCUUUUUUCAUCUAUUCUUUCUACUAAAUACCCUUAUUGAUCUUUUGAUCAAAUUUGCAACUACUGGUUAACAGUCAAGUUGCACCCUGAGCAAAGUCCCCACAUCAUUCUUGAAGGAACUGAAAACCAUUAAUGCCCCAAGAGACUAAAUGUCUCUUCUUUUGGUUCACAAGUGAAGCUUUGAUAUAAGAACUGCUCUAAAGAGUCCAGCCAACCACUUUCAACUCCCGGAGCCACCAAUAUGCCCAUAGAAGGGAAUGAUGAAAAGGAAAAUUUCUGGAGUCAGAUAUUUUUCAUUCAUUCAAUAUGUAUUUGUUGAUCUUACUAUAUGCUAAGCAUUAUCACUAAGAUACUGAGAAUACCUCAUAAACAAACAGAUCAAAAUUCGAGAGGAAGAAUAUAAUGAGAUGAAAUCAGAGAGGAUAUGGGACAGGGGUUACAGAUAACAUAAGGCUUUCAGGCCAUAGUAAAGACUUUGAGAGAGAUGGGAAGCUACAAGAGGAUUCUGAACAGAUGAAUGUCAUGACUGACAUUUUAAAAAGAUUAUCCUGACCCAUGUGCUGAGAUCAGAUUAUAGGGGUCAAGCAGACUAACAAGAUCCAGACUCUUAGAGUAAUCCAAGUGAGAGAUGACAAUGGCUUGGACCAGGAUUGUAAUGCUGAGAUGGUAGGAAUUAGUUGGAUUCUGCAUGUAUUUAGAAGGUGGACCCAACAGUACAUUUUGCUAAUGGGUUGAAUGUGGCAUGUAAGAGAAAGAGAGGUUUCAAAAUGGCUGCCAUUAUCGUCCUGAACAAAUGGAAGAAUGGAGUCGCAGUGAACUGCAAUCAAGGAGAGGUGGAAGGAGCGGAUUUUGGGGAGAAAGAUGAUGAUAUGAUUUUAUAAUAUUUCAACUUUGGGAUGUCUGUUAGGCAUCCUAGUGGAGUUAAGGCAUAGUUUGUUGGCAUAUGAGUUGGAGUUCAGUGGCAAGAUGGAGGCUGGAGAUCUAAAAUUGGGAGUCAUCAGGGCACCUGGCUGGCUCAGUUGGUAGAGCAUACAACUCUUGAUCUUGGGGUUGUGAGUUUGAGGGGUAUAGAGAUUACUUAAAAAUAAAAUCUUUAAAAAAAUAAAAUAAAAUAAAAUUGGGAGUCAUCAUCAUAAGGAAGUUAUUUAGAACCACAGACUAAAGAGUAAAUAGAAAAGAGUUCCAAGAAUUGAAUAGUGGGGCACUCCAAUAUUAAGACAGAACUGGGUUUGUAUGAGCUUAGCUACUUACAAAUUCUAAGAUCUGUAAUGCCUAAUUUCGCCUCUCUGAACCUUUGUUUUGUUGUUGUUGUUCUUGCUUAAACCUGUAAAAUGACAUACUUUGGCUAGUAUCUUUUAUGAUUAUUGUGAUGACUAAGUGAAUUUUUCAUUUAAAGUGCUUAACACACUGCCUGGCACAUGGUGAAUACUCAGUAAAAUAUUAGCUGUUAUUAUUAUUUUUAAACCAGAAUUUGUUUUCCAAAAUGUUGCUGGUUGCCUUGGUGAUAAUAUACUAAUAGACUCAGUACAGUAGCAAUACUUAUUAUUUAGCUAGGUAAAAAGUGGCAAACUGGAAGUGUCCAGUGAGCCACUGACUCCUCCAUAUGUAAUAUCUUAAAUAAGUUACAUUUUUAGCCAGGAGCCUUUUUUCCAACUUGUUAGCUUUUGAAGUCCCCCUAAAUAUUUAAUUUUGUUUGAAUCCCUUUUGAAAGUUUUUAAUUAUUUUAUUUAUUUUUCAUCAUUAGAAGUACACUUCUAAUCCCCAUCACCUAUUUUACCCAUCUUGCCCACCCACCUCCCCUCUAGUGACCAUCAGUUUGCUUUCUAUAGUUAAGAGUCUGUUUCAGGGCGCCUGGGUGUCUGACUCAGUUAAGUGUCUGACUCUUGAUCUCAGCUCAGGUCUUGAUCUCAGGGUCAUGAGUUCAAGUCACAUAUUGGGCUCUGCACUGCACGUGAAGCCUAUAUAAAAAAAAAAGAGUUUGUUUCUUGGGGGGGCACCUGGCUGGCUCAGUUAGUAGAGCAUGUAACUGUUGAUCUCAGGGUCAUGAAUUCAAGCACCAUUUUGGCAUGAAGCUUAGGUAAAAAAAAAAAAAAAAAAAAA